UACAGAGGUCCCAAGCGUUGUUCGGAUUUACUGGGCGUAAAGGGUGCGUAGGUGGUUGGGUAAGUCUGAUGUGAAAUCUCCGGGCUCAACCCGGAAAUGGCAUUGGAUACUAUCUGACCCGAGGAUUGGAGGGGGGACUGGAAUACUUGGUGUAGCAGUGAAAUGCGUAGAUAUCAAGUGGAACACCAGUGGCGAAGGCGAGUCCCUGGACAACUCCUGACACUGAGGCACGAAAGCUAGGGGAGCAAACAGG
rnacentral:rRNA from 1 species